rnacentral:rRNA from 1 species
GACGAACGCUGGCGGCAUGCCUAAUACAUACAAGUCGAGCGAACAGAUGAAGUGCUUGCACUUCUGACGCUAGCGGCGAACGGGUGAGUAACACGUAAGGAAUCUACCUAUAAGCGGGGGAUAACAUUCGGAAACGGGUGCUAAUACCGCAUAAUAUCUUCUUCCGCAUGGAAGAAGAUUGAAAGACGGCUCUGCUGUCACUUAUAGAUGACCUUGCGGUGCAUUAGUUAGUUGGUGGGGUAACGGCCUACCAAGACGAUGAUGCAUAGCCGACCUGAGAGGGUGAUCGGCCACAUUGGGACUGAGACACGGCCCAAACUCCUACGGGAGGCAGCAGUAGGGAAUCUUCCGCAAUGGGCGAAAGCCUGACGGAGCAAUGCCGCGUGAGUGAAGAAGGCCUUCGGGUCGUAAAACUCUGUUAUAAGAGAAGAACAAAUUGUAGAGUAACUGCUACAGUCUUGACGGUAUCUUAUCAGAAAGCCACGGCUAACUACGUGCCAGCCGCCGCGGUAA